UACGGAGGAUCCAAGCGUUAUCCGGAAUCAUUGGGUUUAAAGGGUCCGUAGGCGGUUUAAUAAGUCAGUGGUGAAAGCCCAUCGCUCAACGGUGGAACGGCCAUUGAUACUGUUAGACUUGAAUUAUUAGGAAGUAACUAGAAUAUGUAGUGUAGCGGUGAAAUGCUUAGAGAUUACAUGGAAUACCAAUUGCGAAGGCAGGUUACUACUAAUUGAUUGACGCUGAUGGACGAAAGCGUGAGUAGCGAACAGG
rnacentral:rRNA from 1 species